rnacentral:rRNA from 1 species
UACGUAGGGUGCAAGCGUUGUCCGGAAUUAUUGGGCGUAAAGAGCUCGUAGGCGGUCUGGCGCGUCUGGUGUGAAAAUCCAGGGCUUAACCCUGGACCUGCAUCGGGUACUGGCAGACUAGAGUGCGGUAGGGGAGAUCGGAAUUCCUGGUGUAGCGGUGAAAUGCGCAGAUAUCAGGAGGAACACCGGUGGCGAAGGCGGAUCUCUGGGCCGUAACUGACGCCGAGGAGCGAAAGCAUGGGGAGCGAACAGG